UCAUUGGAGAGUUUGAUGUUGUUUCGGUUGUUUACAUGCACAAAACAUGGAAUUACAGACAAAUUUAGUUUUAAUACAAGAAAAAGAAGGAAUAAGAUAAAUAUUUCUAAAGUGUGAAAAGCGUGCUGUACAAAGUCGUGUGGAGAUCGGGUUGUGCUUGUACAAACACUGCGAUGUGUUAAUUGUCACGUCCGCCGCUCUCUCGGCCUGCUGACGUGCAAAAUUUAGAUCUACUUCAUGAUCUUUACAACGACGCUGAUGACCUAGAGCCAGAACAAGGAACCCGUGAUUAUUUUUAAGCGGACAGCAGUGCACUUUAUACUCAAAAAAGUUUUAAAUUUGGUUCAUUGACAGAAGAAGUUUAAAUGGAUGAAGAAACCUUUUCUGACGAAGAUGGUGGCAGUAGGCACAAAAAGAAGCAUUUGGGAAUUCAAGAUACCCUCGACAGUUCCUGGUCCAAAAAGAAAGGAAGCAGAUGGAGCUAUGUGUGUAACUUAUUGGGUUUAAUAUCAGCCUCUUUGUUCCUCUUCGUGAUAAUAAUGUUUGGGCGGUCUUUUAUGACAGAAUGGCUAUAUAAUGUGGAUGAUGAAGUUACUGAUAUUCAUGAACCCAGCACCAUUUCUCACCAUCAGGACUAAGGCAGACUGUGCACGUACCAUACGAAGAAAAUAAGUCACAAUGUCAGCAAUUUUCAUUUGAGGUCUAAAACAUUACAAUGGAAAUCUUGUACUGUAAGGCUACCUGCUCUUAUCAGCCUGCAGAUCAGUGUGUAAUCUUUCUGUUCCUUGGCGUUAUGUUGUUGCACCUGCAAUGUACAUCAAAAGUUGUGAUUCUUCAGAGAACUCCACAUAAUACGUUUGUCAAAAAAAAAAAAAAAAUGAAAGAAAGAAAUCCAUUACCAAAGGAAAACCCUUAAUUGAAGGAAAUCGGAUUUACUAAUUUCAAUUGGUACCUGGAAGAGAGGGAAUCAAGAUCCUGUGUUGUUUGCAGUUUAUAUAUGAUCCAACAGUUAUAACCAAUCAAUUCCGUAUCUCACAGUAUUUAUGAAUGUGAUCACAGCCUUCAUGUCAUACUUUUCCUCCGUUUUGCCAAAAAUCAAGCAUUAUGUACAUGCCAAGAGUAAUGGAAUCUUUGUUGCUUAGAAUGUAUUUGAUAGGUGAUCUGGUUCCUUUCUCAUAUUUGGAUCCCAAUAAAAGUUUUCUGUGAAAUUAUAACAUUAUUUUUAACUUUUUCAUGUGAACAUUAUAGUUGAUAUAUUUUAAAUUGUGUGUAUUAUAUUUUAAUAUAUUGUAAUUGACUGGUUUUCUAUGUAUUGUCUUAAUCUAAUAAAAGAACAAAAUGAU